GCCCAGCUGGGCAGAGGGAUCCUCCUCCUACCAUCACUGAAAGACCUUCCCCCCAUGUAAACUUUCUGCUGUCUACUAUCUGGCAUGCAGCUGUUGCAGAGUCAGCAUGCUACUACUGUUGCAUCCAGUUGCAGAAUGGUACCGAAGCUCUAGCCAAACCUCCUGGACAAGAUCUGGGAAAAAAUCAGCACUCAGAACAGCUUCCUAAAGUGUCAGAUGUGUUAUUUUGAAGCAUGUGAUGACUGCACUGAGAGUCAACAAUCUGCUUUAGCAAAUUAAGUAUUUCUUCUAGAUAUAACAAGUUCAGCAUUCUCCUCUCUCAGGAGGCUGGCUAACAGUGAAAUAUUUGAAAUCCAGAAAGUCACCUCAUUAGUCAAACUGUAAUCAAUAUAAUUGAGUGUGGAAGAGGCCAGGGUUGACAAUCAGAAUCAACCAGGUUAGAAAAGACCUUUAAGGUCAUUGAGUUCAACUUAAUGCCUUCUAAUUAACUAGUGCCACGGUUAAAGGGCCUCACCCAGACUCCUUUUAAACCCCUCCAGGGAUGGUGACUCCACCACCUCCCAGGGCAGCCCAU